rnacentral:rRNA from 1 species
UACGUAGGGUGCAAGCGUUGUCCGGAAUUAUUGGGCGUAAAGAGCUCGUAGGCGGUCAGUCGCGUCUGCUGUGAAAACUCGGGGCUUAACCCCGAGCCUGCUUCUGAUACGGGCAGACUAGAGGUAUGCAGGGGAGAACGGAAUUCCUGGUGUAGCGGUGAAAUGCGCAGAUAUCAGGAGGAACACCGGUGGCGAAGGCGGUUCUCUGGGCAUUACCUGACGCUGAGGAGCGAAAGUGUGGGGAGCGAACAGG